AGUAGCCAGUCGUGAGCCUCUCGUGGGUGGGGGCACACAUUUGCACACUGGGCCAGUGGAACAAAUUUCAGUGAGUUAGUGACAUUAGAGACAGGAGUAAGGAUACAAGCCUUGCUCUACACCCAGUGAGAUUGUUUCUCUCAUCCCAGACUCUGGCCCGGUGAGCCAGGAGGGCAGGAAUGGAAGGACUGAGAGCUGAGGGUCCCCUCCCAGGGCCCAGGAGGCGAGAGUGCCUUGGAGGGUGCUCACCGGCCCUGUGCCUUUGGGGGUGUGUCCCUUGCUCUUGUUCUUGCUCGUACUCUUUCUUUGAUUCUUGGCUGCCUGGGUUGCGCAGCUUUCAUCCGCUGUGCCAUCUACCGUGCCGUCUGUGCCUUGGAGCCGGCCAACCAUGGACUGAACCCUCUGCAACCUCGAGGCAAAAACACCUCUCCUCCUUCAAGUUGUGGGUAUGUGUCCCCGUGACGAGUACACCACUUGUGCACGCCAUACCGUCUAGGUUUGUGUGAGCAGACUCCAGGACGUUCAUCUGAUGUAUCUCUCAGAGACAGGCACUGUGCUGGUGAUGAGCUCUUUCUGUGUUUGCAGUAUCCCUGAAGGAAGGCAGCAACUGUUCUCCUGCUUUACAGACCCCUGAUUCCUGAGAGUUCUGGGAGCCCUGGGCAUCCAGUCCAGAGGCCUGUCCAUCCUUUCUUCUGCACAGCCAGAAGGACCAAGCUGCCACCUGGACCCCUGCACUCCAUGGCUUGUCAGUGGAGAGAGAGAGACAGUCAGACAUAGACAGAGAGAGAAUUUGUCUACCAGGUUCUGAAAGAAACUGCUUUCAAGUGAAGGCUAAAAGGAAAGCAAGAAGAGAAGAAAGCAGAACCCAAAGGAAGGUUCUAAGAAAUGAAGAAAGGUGGAAGAUGGGUGCAGUCAAACUGGAGCUUCCAUUCUGGUCAAAUUGCAAGCUAGCUCCUGCCUCCCGGAGUAUUUAGUUACAGGCAAAUCCCGCAGGCCACCUGUUGUUUUAACCACUUUUCUUCUCUGGCGGAGUCACCAGGACGCUUUGCAACAGAGAAUGAUCCGAUUCUCCUGGGGGAAAUGAGGGAUAAAAUGAAUGAUAAACAUCCUGACUUCAGAACAUUAUACAUUUUUCAAUACCAGACCCCAAAAGCAUUAGAUUUUCAGCCUUAAUUUGAAUGCAAACUACUUGGAAGUCUAGCUUAGAUUUCCCACGUGGGUUUUAUUUUCUUUAGGGGACGGAGAAAGAAGACGACAGCACAGCCUUUCUGUCUGUUUGUGUCUGCACAGUGUUACUGUCUACGAGUUUCCUUUGAUUAGAUCAUUAUCUCCCACACUUGGCUCUGCUCACGAGGGAGGAGUGUGGGGCUGGUUGUGUGUCACACGCGCCCUAAUGACAGCAAUUUGCGUCUCCCGGCUUCUGCUCAUUUCACCAGCCUGAGCCCCCGAGGAAUUCCCCAAAGUAGGAUGUGCCCGGGGCUGAAGUUCCCAGGAGAAGGUAGCCGUCCUGGCAGACACCCCGGGGACCAGGAUGAGUGCUUAUGUUACUUCACAUCAACAUUAUCCCAUAAUCAAGAAGCAGCUACUGAGUCCCUAUCACUAGUACAAAUUCAGAUGUUAAGGGCGCGGGCCAAGGACUCCGUGUGGCUGGACGUUCGCUGGACCAUUUCGCAAAGUCCCCUCUUCCACCUAGUUCCCACCACCAGCGUGAGGGGCGGAGAAGCUGGGCCUCCUGCCGCCGCCUCUCAGAAGACAGCCCGGCAAGCCAGCAUCUUCCUUUGAAAUGGAGAUUUUGAUAAACAAAAACCAAACUUCAAAAACCUCUUGCCAGCGGUGCUGGGUACUGAGGGUCUGGGGGAGGGCUGGGUGAACCUAGUGAACGCCCUGGGCCCAGUCUCGGUGCCCAAGCUGCAGGGUGCUGGAGGACACUCGCUUCAGUCUCUGUACAGUCACAGCCCCUCCCUGUGUGGCGCUGUCCCCCGGCCUGUGAGAGCCCAGCUGCUGGCUUGACCGCCCACAAGAUGCUGGGCAGCCGGGGUGCAGCACGGGGCUGGGUUAUGUCGACGUGGGUAUGGAGACCGCAAGGAAAACAACCUUCCGCUGGCCUGAUUUAGAGUCGUAGGGCUUUAACAAAGCAGCUCUUUGACACAAAACACAGUAAUGGUUACUUGGACCUGGUUCAGUCUAUCAUGUCACCCUCUGCUCUGGGAGAUGUUACAAAGAGCUCAUGGCUCUGGUCCAGGGCCUGGUUUUACAAGUUUGCUGCUUAGAAGUGCAACUGUGUGCUGGCACGGCUGAUGCCCAGAUCUUUGAAUAGUUGUAGGAGUGCACGGGGGAAGAAGGAUUAAAGGACUAUAAAA